UAUAGAAUAAAUGGAGUCGUAGAAACAGAAAGAGCAGGUUUACCGUUGAGGAGGUGAAGCAAGUGAAUAGCUACCUCUCACAAGCAAAUACUGUACAUGUCCAAAGCAGCACCGGUGGAAUUACUUACAUUGCAUGCAAUGUGGUGGUACCACAAACAAAGUCUCUCUACAUCGGUCAGUUUUCACAAGAUUUCUGAAGACUUGGCAGAGACUCCAGGAAGAAAGUGCAAGACUAGCUGAAUUAAAGACUUACAUUGCACAGAUGAAGUGGUGUCACGGUGAUGGGCAACUGGUGGGAUGCCAGAUUCAUCUCAUGGCAAUCAAGACACCCCACACAGAAAACUUCAGCAGUCAACUGCGGGGCUUUCCCUUAGUGUGAGGCAGCAGAAGCAAACCCUUUGCUGGCAGAAUGCAAGAAGGUCGCUGGUUCGAGUCCUGGCUGGGCCUGUUUGGAAUUUGCAUGUUCU